rnacentral:rRNA from 1 species
GAGUUUGAUCCUGGCUCAGGAUGAACGCUGACAGAAUGCUUAACACAUGCAAGUCAACUUGAAUUUGGGUCCUAGACUUAGAUUUGGGUGGCGGACGGGUGAGUAACGCGUAAAGAACUUGCCUCACAGAUAGGGACAACAUUUGGAAACGAAUGCUAAUACCUGAUAUUAUGAUUUUAGGGCAUCCUAAGAUUAUGAAAGCUAUAUGCGCUGUGAGAGAGCUUUGCGUCCCAUUAGCUAGUUGGAGAGGUAACGGCUCACCAAGGCGAUGAUGGGUAGCCGGCCUGAGAGGGUGAACGGCCCCAAGGGGACUGAGACACGGCCCUUACUCCUACGGGAGGCAGCAGUGGGGAAUAUUGGACAAUGGACCAAGAGUCUGAUCCAGCAAUUCUGUGUGCACGAUGAAGUUUUUCGGAAUGUAAAGUGCUUUCAGUUGGGAAGAAAAAAAUGACG